rnacentral:rRNA from 1 species
GAAUAUUGGGCAAUGGGCGCAAGCCUGACCCAGCCAUGCCGCGUGAGUGAUGAAGGCCUUCGGGUCGUAAAGCUCUGUGGGGAGAGACGAAACAGCACGUGGCUAACAUCCACGGGCCUUGACGGUAUCUCCUUAGCAAGCACCGGCUAACUCCGUGCCAGCAGCCGCGGUAAUACGGAGGGUGCAAACGUUGCUCGGAAUCAUUGGGCGUAAAGCGCACGUAGGCGGUCCGGCAAGUCGGAUGUGAAAUCCCUCGGCUCAACCGAGGAAGUGCAUUCGAAACUGCCAGACUUGAAUAUGGAAGAGGGUCGCGGAAUUCCCGGUGUAGAGGUGAAAUUCGUAGAUAUCGGGAGGAACACCAGUGGCGAAGGCGGCGACCUGGGCCAAUAUUGACGCUGAGGUGCGAAAGCGUGGGGAGCAAACAG